GGAGAGAUGUCCGAGUUUGGCCGAAGGAGCACGAUUGGAAAUCGUGUAGGCGUCACAAGCGUCUCGAGGGUUCGAAUCCCUCCUCUCUCUCCGCCA
rnacentral:tRNA from 1 species